CUGCCCGGUGACUCACACACAGAGAGAGUGGCAGGAAGCCAGGGAGGACGGGCUGGCGGAGCUCUGAGCAAGGAGCGUGGACACCAGCCUGGGCCAGGGCCUGUGGGGCAGGAGAGGCCGGGAGGCAGCAUGGGCUCUGAGGCUGGGCCUUGGCCGCUCUCGCUCAGCCUGGGGCCUGGUAGCAGUGGGGAGGUGCACAGACGCGGAGGGGCGUCUGGGCAGGAGCCAUGGACACGGGACACGCCUGAGAGCAUGUGGCCACCAGGGGCCCACUUGCCAGGACGCAGCUGAUUUGCGGCCCAGCCAGAACUGCAAUCCGGGUCUUCUGAAUUCUCCAGCCUCAUGCUCCCACCCCCCAGCCCACGAGAGUCUGCAGAGGAAGGUGACCCUGGAUCCAGCCAUGGCAGCAGGGGCAAACACCCCUGGGAAAAUGGCUGUUCCUACUGAUUAAGCUCCGAGUCAAUCAGGCAAGUUAGCCCUGCAAGUGGAGUCUUCCAUGGAACAGAGAGGCAGCUCAGACAAUGGCAGUUCUCUGGGAAGAGGCUUUGGGGGAGCUCAGCUUCGGUUCUCCACCCCAGUGGCUGCCAGGCUAUUGCUUUCACCAGAAUUUCAUUCCUCACUGCAAAUCUUUGGCUAAUUUCCAGAGGUCUGAAAAACCUGAUUCUGAUCAUUUUUGCCAGUGUUCUCAUUACUUUUAUCAAUGAGGCUUUUUGGACGUCCUUGUCUUGCCAUUUUGUAGUUGUCAUCAU